CUUGGUCAUUUAGAGGAAGUAAAAGUCGUAACAAGGUCUCCGUAGGUGAACCUGCGGAGGGAUCAUUGAUGGUUUGACUUGCCUUUUGCGAGGCAACGUCUUCACCUUCCACCCUUGUGCAUUUAAAGCCUUUUUCUUUGGCUGACGGAAGUUGGCCAAAGUCAUGCAAAGUCUUGUAUUGUUUCGUCUGUGAAGAAAAAUUCUUAACAUUGAAAACUUUCAACAACGGAUCUCUUGGCUCUCGUAUCGAUGAAGAACGCAGCGAGAUGCGAUACGUAGUGUGAAUUGCAGAUUUUUGUGGAUCAUCGAGUUUUUGAACGCACAUUGCGCUCUCUGUUGAGGAGAGCAUACCUGUUUGAGAGUUGCUUAUAACCUUCACCGGCCUUUUUUGGCUGCGUGGUGUUGGAUUUUGCUUCGCAAGAAAGCAUCGUCUGUAAAGGUUUCGACUCUGGUUCGCGGUGAAAGCAGCAACGAUGAGUUUCUUGGACACCGGUGUUGACUGAAAGCCUAGGAUCGAGAGUCGUUAAGCAUUGGAUCUCAGUUUCAACCUCAGAUCAGGUAAGAGGACCCGCUGAACUUAAGCAUAUCAAUAAGCGGAGGA
rnacentral:rRNA from 1 species